UUGGACUUUAUCAAGAGUCUCAGAGAAGUUAAAUGACUUGCUCAAGGUCAUAUAGCAAGUUAAUAAAGAUACAACUUCUAUAAACAAGUUUAGAGAUGAGAUAAUCUUAGAAAUUAUCCAAGAUUGAACACUGGAAUCUUUUCUUUUCUUGUCCCAAACAGUGAAUACGAGAACAUAUCUCAUAGAAUAACAUUGGUCUUCCAAAUCUACCUUCUGCCUGUAAGCCUUUCUCUUUAGGAGAAGCUCUGUGAAGCCUUUGAGGCAGCCAGGAAAGAGACAGCAUGUUGAUCCUGGAAUGAGU
rnacentral:lncRNA from 9 species